AUAAAGUUCAGUCCUGUGUGAGAUUUGGUCUGUGGAAGACCAAAUGGAGGCAGCACACAUCCUUUGUGGAUUGAUGACCUUGGCAAACUGGUUAUAUUCUUUGACUGGUUGGAGUACACCAAGUGACCCCUGAAGUCCAUUCCAAACUAUCAUCACUUCAGAACUUCAGCUAACAACCCAGUGAGUGAAUUCAUGAGAGAGCAUGCCAAGGACAGUGAGAUUGAAGUUAAAAUUGACAAGCCCACAACAAUGGCUUUUCCAUGGAGAGUACCCUGAACGCAUCCAACUAAAAGGACUUAAUGCAAAAAGGCUCUGAUCCUUUAAAUAAGUGAAAACACGAAUAUACUGAUAUGUGAUCUUUAUAAACUAAAUAUAAGAUUUGAGAAUGAGCCAGUUA